AAUUUAUGCCGACACCUAUUAUUUGAUCGGGUACUUGACUGAGCUUGGCUGUUUAUUGUUUAAAUUUCCGAGAAUAGAGGAUAUGGAAAUUAAGCUUUUAUAAAUAUUUAUUUUGACAGACAGUUUUAUAUUUAUUAAAAAGUUAUUUGUGAGGUGAGAAUACUGAGUCAAGUCGAGUUGUAUGAGUAAAGGUGAGCUGAGCUUUUGUUGUAGACAGUGGGAUAUGGGUACAUCCUGGCAUUGAACACAUAAAUAUGUAUUUAUAUUUUUUUAGUUAGAAUAUUCAACGGAACCGGCACUUAAGUUAACCUUUUUUUUAUUCCGCGCGCCGAAUAGUUUCGUCUUUAUGUAUUAUUAUGUCUAGUGGGUAUUAGUAUGCGUCCAAAAGAGACAAAUAGAGAGUGUAAUUGUGACUGGCUCGUUGUUAAUUCAAGUCAUACCGACGUUUCUUCGUUACUACGUGAUAAAUAAUGCACAGUUUUAAAUCCACAGUACUAAAUAAAAUAUGAUAAAUGUAAAAUAAAAUUUAUUAAUUAAAAAAAUCAAGCAAAAAUUACGCGGGAACAUACAAGAGUACGAGGUGUACGCCUGCGUGAUGACUGAAGACUAAAGAGAAACUGAAUAGAACGAGCCCGUGGUAUGGAGUUGCGGAUAGGACAGGACAGACAGGACUAUCGACUAGAUGAGAAGUGAAGAGUCGAAGAACAUCCACCAUUCAGAUACAAAUAAAAGUACGGAGUAGAGAAGUGGAUGCGUGUAUUAUAUGCAGAGCAUUGUAUUCAAGAAGAAUGAAGAUAUUUACUACCAGUUAGUAGUUUUGAUUCAACUCCCCUCGAAUCUCAUUCUCAACCUUUCUGUCUUUUUUUUUUUUAUUUAUUUCUAUACCUUCAAAUGUAUUUAGUUAGACUACUCAUUCUCUCAGAUCUGUUUCAAAGGACUUAAAUCAUUGCUCAGGAUCCCCGAUACAAGCUAAGCGGAUUUCGCUCCAACCACCCCCGUUUUUUUGUCAACAUUAAAUUUACCCCAGGAAAAUAAAAAAGUGUUAUUGAAGCAUAUCACAGUCGGGUUCUAAAACCUUUUACCACUUUUUUUUUACAUUAAUAUUAUUACAAUAAUUCAUUAAAAAAAAAAAAAUAAAAUUUAAUUAAUGAC